ACCCUCUGAGUGUCUGGGCAGCACUUUUAACCCAUUUACACGACACGGACCAUAUGUAUUUUGUGAUCUGCAAAUUACAGAUGACGCCCAUGUGCCAUCUGCAUUUUUUUUCAGACCCAUUAACUAGCCUGCACGUUGCGGACCAGUAUGGGACA